UAUAUUGAAAAAAAAUUAGUAGUUUUCCUCCUCCUCAAUAUAUACUUUUCCCCUCUUAUUUCAUAUUUUCUCCCUAGUCCCAAGACUGGCUUUUUAUGCUAUUACUCUUUAUAGUUUUCUACCAAUUCUGUAACGCUGAAGACCAUUCAUCAAAGAUGCUGUAGAAGAGGUUUGGGAUUAAGUAGAAGGUGGGCCCAGAGUUGACCUCUGUGGUCCUUCAACUCCAGGAUUGCAUGUAAAUCAAGAAACAAACCAGAUGCAGGGAAAGAAGUUGAAAGGAGAGAAACCAGUCAGGCUACUGUUGGUGAAGAGUCAGCUGAAGGCCAGUGAAAAGAAUUCCUCGCUAUCAAGUUCUCAUCAACAUGUCAGACAGAAUUAGGAUAUCCUCGACCUACAUUCCUGAGGAGGACAUAACAAUAAUUAUGGGAUAUGAAGUACAGCAUCCUAAAUUACAAA